rnacentral:rRNA from 1 species
CAUGUAGGCGGAUUAAUAAGUUUGAAGUGAAAUCCUAUAGCUUAACUAUAGAACUGCUUUGAAAACUGUUAAUCUAGAAUGUGGGAGAGGUAGAUGGAAUUUCUGGUGUAGGAGUAAAAUCCGUAGAGAUCAGAAGGAAUACCGAUUGCGAAGGCGAUCUACUGGAACAUUAUUGACGCUGAGAUGCGAAAGCGUGGGGAGCAAACA